AAAAAUCUGUUUUUGUACUCGUUCUCUUUCGAUAGCCAGCUGCAUGACCAAAUCCAUUAUAAAACUGGUUUUGAUGUUAAUGUCUUUUGCACUAGCAAGUUUCUCAACGGUAGCUUGAUUCAAAGAAGUCUCCAAUCCUUCGACUCUUGAUCUUAGAAACUCUACUUCUUGGGUAAGUUCUAAAUUAGUUUCCGACAAAAU
rnacentral:misc_RNA from 1 species